AACAAGAAUAACUUAUAACAUAGAACACAACUGGAAAACACUUGCAGGGCUCGCGACACACCAUGCGGACACCAAGCUCAUUACACUGGUGACACUUGUUGGCGAAUCCAUUCAUAUUUUCAUAAGUAAUUAUGCUUAAACCAAAUCAUCUAUCUGCGAUUGUCCAACGCAUGGACACAUAUCACAGAUUGCAUGACAAUUAUCACAUAUCAAACUUUAAAGAUAUUAAAGAAUAUGAGAAUGACC